CACGUAGGGUGCGAGCGUUGUCCGGAAUUAUUGGGCGUAAAGAGCUCGUAGGCGGUGUGUCGCGUCGGCCGUGAAAACCUGUGGCUUAACCAUGGGCUUGCGGUCGAUACGGGCAUCACUGGAGUUCGGCAGGGGAGACUGGAAUUCCUGGUGUAGCGGUGAAAUGCGCAGAUAUCAGGAGGAACACCAAUAGCGAAGGCAGCUCGCUGGGACGGUAUUGACGCUAAGGCGCGAAAGCGUGGGGAGCAAACAGG
rnacentral:rRNA from 1 species